rnacentral:rRNA from 1 species
GGUUAGACCGACCGACCCGCCCCUUGGGUGUGCGUCUGGUUGAGUCUAUCCAUCCUUCUGGAGAACGUCGCUGUCAUUCACUUGGCGGCGGCGGUAUCCAGGACUUUUACUUUGAAAAAAUUAGAGUGUUUAAAGCAGGCCAACGCUUUGAAUACAUUAGCAUGGAAUAAUAAAAUAGGACUACGUUUCUAUUUUGUUGGUUUCUAGGAACGCAGUA